AGAGUUUGAUUCUGGCUCAGGAUGAACGCUGGCGGCGUGCCUAACACAUGCAAGUCGAGCGAUUUCUAGGAGAAGAGCGGCGGACGGGUGAGUAACGCGUGGGUAACCUGCCUCAUACACAUGGAUAACAUACCGAAAGGUAUGCUAAUACAGGAUAACAUAAGAGAUUCACAUGGAUUUCUUAUCAAAGCUCCGGCGGUAUGAGAUGGACCCGCGUCUGAUUAGCUAGUUGGUAAGGUAACGGCUUACCAAGGCGACGAUCAGUAGCCGACCUGAGAGGGUGAUCGGCCACAUUGGAACUGAGACACGGUCCAAACUCCUACGGGAGGCAGCAGGUGGGGAAUAUUGCACAAUGGGCGAAAGCCUGAUGCAAGCAACGCCGCGUGAGUGAUGAAGGCCUUCGGGUACGUAAAACUCUGUCCUCAAGGAAGAUAAUGACGGUACUUGAGGAGGAACGCCCCGGCUAACUACGUGCCAGCAGCUGC
rnacentral:rRNA from 1 species